UACGUAGGUGGCAAGCGUUGUCCGGAUUUACUGGGCGUAAAGGGCGUGCAGGCGGUCUGUUAAGUUCAGGGUGAAAGCUCCCGGCUCAACUGGGAGAGGUCCUUGGAUACUGCCUGACUUGAGUCCGGAAGGGGCGAGUGGAAUUCCUGGUGUAGCGGUGAUAUGCGUAGAUAUCGGGAGGAACACCUGUGGCGAAGGCGGCUUUCUGGGCCUUACCUGACGCUGAGACGCGAAAGCGUGGGGAGCGAACGGG
rnacentral:rRNA from 1 species